AGAGUUUGAUCCUGGCUCAGGACGAACGCUGGCGGCGUGCCUAAUACAUGCAAGUAGAACGCUGAAGAGAGGAGCUUGCUCUUCUUGGAUGAGUUGCGAACGGGUGAGUAACGCGUAGGUAACCUGCCUUGUAGCGGGGGAUAACUAUUGGAAACGAUAGCUAAUACCGCAUAACAAUGGAUGACACAUGUCAUUUAUUUGAAAGGGGCAAUUGCUCCACUACAAGAUGGACCUGCGUUGUAUUAGCUAGUAGGUGAGGUAACGGCUCACCUAGGCGACCAUACAUAGCCGACCUGAGAGGGUGAUCGGCCACACUGGGACUGAGACACGGCCCAGACUCCUACGGGAGGCAGCAGUAGGGAAUCUUCGGCAAUGGGGGCAACCCUGACCGAGCAACGCCGCGUGAGUGAAGAAGGUUUUCGGAUCGUAAAGCUCUGUUGUAAGUCAAGAACGAGUGUGAGAGUGGAAAGUUCACACUGUGACGGUAGCUUACCAGAAAGGGACGGCUAACUACGUGCCAGCAGCCGCGGUAAUACGUAGGUCCCGAGCGUUGUCCGGAUUUAUUGGGCGUAAAGCGAGCGCAGGCGGUUUGAUAAGUCUGAAGUUAAAGGCUGUGGCUCAACCAUAGUUCGCUUUGGAAACUGUCAAACUUGAGUGCAGAAGGGGAGAGUGGAAUUCCAUGUGUAGCGGUGAAAUGCGUAGAUAUAUGGAGGAACACCAGUGGCGAAAGCGGCUCUCUGGUCUGUAACUGACGCUGAGGCUCGAAAGCGUGGGGAGCGAACAGGAUUAGAUACCCUGGUAGUCCACGCCGUAAACGAUGAGUGCUAGGUGUUGGAUCCUUUCCGGGAUUCAGUGCCGCAGCUAACGCAUUAAGCACUCCGCCUGGGGAGUACGACCGCAAGGUUGAAACUCAAAGGAAUUGACGGGGGCCCGCACAAGCGGUGGAGCAUGU
rnacentral:rRNA from 1 species